rnacentral:misc_RNA from 1 species
GUUAGAAUUUGGUCGACUAAUUGUUUGUUCCUUGAGAUGAAGCUCUUCCUCUGUUUUGCAGUUUUUGCCUGUUCACAGGUAUGUCACUAGAAUGAUUGGAUUUGAUGAUAUACGACAAGAAAUAGAAAAAAGGUAUUUUUUUAAAAAUUGGUUCACGGUGUUGGUUUACAGAAAAGCUUACACAUAAAAUAAGCUACCCAAAGUUGGAAACACCCCCAUCUAUUGAAAAAGUGGAUACUUUCAAUUCAUAACAUUGCAUAAAAAAGUCAAAGAUGUACUUUUUAAGAGUUGAAUAAGCAAUUAAUCUAUCGCUUCUGAAUACAUACAGAUUUACAUUUUGUAGACUUGUUUUGGACAGUUCGAGGUUUACAAAAAGCGUAAACUGUUCAAACGCAGUUUAUAUACUAGAUUUGUUAUUUUAAUUGUGUAGUUACCAGACAUAUUCCAUGAAAGUUUGCUCCUAAAUAAGAAAAGAUUGUACAAAAACGUCAUGCGAAUCGUUACAGCAUAUUGGUGGGAUGAAGGGAAAAUCUAAGUCUAUGCAGGAAUAAAAAAAAAUCGUUGAAGCCAAGAAACAGACACUUAAAUUAUUUGCAAAUAUUUAAAAAAAAUCUGUGCGAAUAAGUAUACCCCCCCCCCCCAAAAAAAAAAAAAUAUCAGCUUUUCAUUCAAUACUUAUUGAAUGUCCGGUGUUUCUUACUGCACUCAUGAUAAGUGAUCAUUUAAACAUUUUUCUGGAAUUUGCAGGCCUUUUUUCUUGACAGUCUUUUUGGAUCAGGCGGAUGUAAAUCGGAUGAUGACUGCUCUUCCGGCGGAUGUUGUAUGACGGACGUAUUCGGCGAUAAAUCUUGUGUACACCAAUACCUUCACUACCUCCAGGAAUGCCGCAUGGACGGACAUGAUCACCACAGCUGUGGAUGCGGAAGCGGUGAGCACUAUCGCUGAUUAGUCUUAAUCUAUAUGCAUAUGUAUGAUACCUUAUAUGCAUAUAUGUAUAUUAGACAUAAUGCAUAUUCAUAAUAUCGUACUUCGCUCUUUUUAAAAUUUUUACUAACACAGGGGUUGGCUUCGUGAGUUAUUGUUUUAGCAGAGGGCCAAACUUUCUUCACCCAAUAUUGCUUCAAAUUAAAUUCGUGCUUUCCUUUCUAAAUAGUUCAAGGAUAUGCACAAAAAGUCCUCCUAAAGUUCUAAAUCACCUCAGUUAAUAUGGAUAUGUGCAAUCAGUUUUGCUUAUGAGGACUGGGCAGUUUAUUGUUUAUUGUUUGUUGAAAUAACAAUUGUAGUGUUCCUAUUCUAUGUUCAUCGAUCGUCAACAAUCUUUAUAUACUAUAAUUAUACUAUAAUAAGGACUUUUUUAUACGAAGACCGAACGAAGAAACGGUAUUUAAGCAGACACAAACAUAAGUGUACAUAAGAAUCUCCAUUACAGGCCAAGUCUUCCUUUCCAUUUACGUGCGGACAGAGAGGAUAUUUUAUCACAAUAAACAAAAUUUACUUAAAUAGAACCUAUCUAGGGAAGGUCAAGGCUUCAGACGAUGGAAAUUGACAUAGACGUCUGCUAACUAUCGGGUAUUCGGUUUUAAUAACGCUUAUUUUGAGCGCUAAUCUUAGCAGAUUCAGAGUUGUAUAUACCGCGCUCAGAAUAGGUGCCGCGAUUGAGAAUGAAUUGAAAACGACAAAAUGUUUAUAAAAAGGAAAAUAAUAAACCAAAUUCGCUUUGGCAGGUAUGAUAAACAAGUCUAUAAUUAAAGAACACAUAUUAGAGAAUGAAUCACAGUGAUAAUACAGAAUGCGUCAGAGUGGAGAUUGGAAUCUAACCUGUAUACGAACUGCCGCAAACAAUUGGAUGCUCAAAAGAUUGAAAUUUUUAACUUUUUUGUUCUCUCACACAGGUUUGUACUGCGAGAGCUACGCUAAUGUCCACGGGGCGGCUGUCGAGACACAACACAUGGGCUCCACUAUGUACGGCUUGUGCGAGCACAAAGUUAACGCAACAUCUUACUAAAUACAAUAAAAUUAU